AUCCAGCUGAUGAGUCCCAAAUAGGACGAAAUGCGCUUUCUUGAU
rnacentral:hammerhead_ribozyme from 1 species